UACGAAGGGGGCUAGCGUUGCUCGGAAUCACUGGGCGUAAAGGGUGCGUAGGCGGGUAUUUAAGUCAGAGGUGAAAUCCUGGAGCUCAGCUCCAGAACUGCCUUUGAUACUGAGUAUCUUGAGUACGGGAGAGGUGAGUGGAACUGCGAGUGUAGAGGUGAAAUUCGUAGAUAUUCGCAAGAACACCAGUGGCGAAGGCGGCUCACUGGCCCGUUACUGACGCUGAGGCACGAAAGCGUGGGGAGCAAACAGG
rnacentral:rRNA from 1 species